rfam:Marinactinospora thermotolerans DSM 45154 genome assembly, contig: G546DRAFT_scaffold00006.6
GGUGGAGUCGCAUAGUGGCCGAGUGCGCGCGCCUCGAAAGCGCGUGAAGGGAGACCUUCCGAGGGUUCAAAUCCCUCCUCCACCG